CGGGGCGUAGCGCAGUUUGGUAGCGCGCCACGCUUGGGACGUGGAGGUCCCGGGUUCAAAUCCCGGCGCUCCGACCA
rnacentral:tRNA from 1 species